CCUACGGGGGGCUGCAGUGGGGGAUAUUGCACAAUGGAGGAAACUCUGAUGCAGCAACGCCGCGUGAGGGAAGAAGGUCUCGGGUUUGAAAACCCCUUUCUUCAGGGCGGUUAUUGCGGGUACCGGGGGGGAAAGCUCCGGCUAACUACGGGCCAGCAGCCGCGGUAAUACGUAGGGAGCAAGCGUUGUCCGGAUUUACUGGGUGUAAAGGGUGCGUAGGCGGCCCUGCAAGUCAGGUGUGAAAACUAUGGGCUUAACUCAUAGAUUGCACUUGAAACUGUGGGGCUUGAGUGAAGUAGAGGCAGGCGGAAUUCCCGGUGUAGCGGUGAAAUGCGUAGAGAUCGGGAAGAACACCAGUGGCGAAGGCGGCCUGCUGGGCUUUAACUGACGCUGAGGCACGAAAGCGUGGGUAGCAAACAGGAUUAGAUACCCUAGUAGUC
rnacentral:rRNA from 1 species